GGGCAUAUGGCUCAGUGGUAAAGUGUGUGCUUAGCAUGCAUAAGGUCUUGGGUUCAAUCCAUAGUACCUCCA
rnacentral:tRNA from 1 species